rnacentral:lncRNA from 1 species
CCCUUGAAAGGCUGCCUUGGCAGGAAGUGUUGUCAGCAGCUAAUGUGCUUCCCCUUGAUGCCUCACUCUAGCUGCAUAGACUCAUGGUUUGAAGUGAACAGAUCUUGUCCAGAACACCCUGCUGAUUGACCCUUCUGGGCCUGCUUACGGACUCCUCUCAAAGGUGAGCCCAUACUUGGUGGGUGGGCUCUGGGCUAAGAGUCAAGUUUCUGGGAACUGGGGGAGAGGAGCUGGUCUGCCUGAUACACACCCUGUCAAGGAGAAAGCAGAAGCAGAAAGCCAGAAGCCAUCUAUCUCCUCAGGGAGCAGUCCCCAAGAAGUAGAGGGAUGUUCCUGAGAGUUGGGGGAACAUGAAAGAGAGAUAUUAAUAUACUCAUGAAGAACUCCAUGCAAAGGUAGAGUCAGGCCCCUUUCCCUCAGGAAAGGCAGAAAGGUCCCCUGCAGGGUGCAUGGGCUGAAGCAGAUGAGCCCCUAGCCAGGCUCUGCAGCUGUCUCCCCCUCCCUCCCCUCUCAGAGACUCGGUUCUGAAAGGGAAGAAUCACUGAACAGAUGACCUGUGGAAAGAUACUGUCCACUGCAAAGAGGUCGUCUGAGGUCUUUUCACUGCUUGUUCUCCCACCUGCUGGCUGCCUCACCCCACUUGUAGGGGAAUCUGAAAUCUGAGGGUUCCAGGCCACACUCAGUCCAUCUGUCCAUGGCACAGUAUCACAACAGCAGGCAACUCCCUCCUACACAUGCAUUUGUGUUUCUGUGUAACCAUUGGAUCUGACCUCCAUUUCUUCCCCCAGGGUACCUUGUUUAAACCGCCCCCAUCCUGUCCCCAACCCUAUCUGUGGCUUUGAGGACUGGUGGGCAUUCUCUCUCUCUCUUGUUUGUUUUAGUCCUGGCAAGUAGAACAUAAGCCCCUGAAAAACCAGUAGCCCAUUCCUACUUGAUCUCACAUCCAAAGGUUUGGGGGGAUCCCUUUUCUUCUCUCUCUCUUCUUUGUUGUGUUUUCUUUUGUUAGGUUUAUUUUAUUUAUUCCAAGUAAAUGCCCAGAACAGCUGACGGUGUCAGGCAAAUCAGGGACAUUGGCUCUUUUUACCCUCACCUCAAAAUCUGAUGACAAGCAAGGGAGAGUGAGGCAGAGGGAUUGGACCCCAGCUCCAGAGUGCAGGUCCAAAUUGCCGACAUGAUGUUUGGCUUCUGAUGGGCCUGCCUGGACUGAACCAGAUGCCCCAGCUGACCAGCCCGCCCUCAGGGGGUACACGCUGCUGCCACGGUGAGAUGGAGCGGCAGCGCAGCGCUCAUCGAGAUGGAGCAGGACUGACUUCUUCCGACCCACACAGGGACAGCCAGCCCCUGUUCCUGGGAGGAGGCUCCUCGGACACUGGACAGAGCUGAGCUUGGGACACCAGAGAGAACAGGGCACCCUUCUGCACUGGCUUCCAGAAAACGGUCCUCCCCGAGGACACCCAGUGGAUGAGAGCGAGUCUGAGAGAAGAAUGAAUUGACCUCUAUCCUUCCCCUCACCCUCGACCCAGGAGGGAAAGGGCAUUUUCUUUUUCACCUUUGAAAGGCGUUGUGGGUCUGUCUUUAAAAAGUGUUUACAAACAACAAAAAAUUCUAUAAAAAGUCUCGUGUCG